UACGUAGGGCGCGAGCGUUGUCCGGAAUUAUUGGGCGUAAAGAGCUCGUAGGCGGCCGGUUGCGUCUGCUGUGAAAUCCCGGGGCUUAACCCCGGGCGUGCAGUGGAUACGGGCCGGCUGGAGGCAGGCAGGGGAGAAUGGAAUUCCCGGUGUAGCGGUGAAAUGCGCAGAUAUCGGGAGGAACACCGGUGGCGAAGGCGGUUCUCUGGGCCUGUUCUGACGCUGAGGAGCGAAAGCGUGGGGAGCAAACAGG
rnacentral:rRNA from 1 species